UUCGCAGCGCCUGGAUGAGUAGCCGAUACAGUCUGUUGUCGCGGCAGUGGCGGCAUGUGUGCUGUGAACGCGACAGUUUUUCUACCCGCAUGCUAUCCCCAAGUGUUCGUGUGGACAACCAUCAAUACUACUCUAUCUGUGACCUCAAUUCGCGCAAGGGUUUCCCCUUUUUCUGAAGCUGACAGGAACUUCUGGGUAAUCGCAGGAGGAUCACUACAAGACGCAGUAAUGGAACACCUCAUUUCACUCGAUAGAUGGCCAGCAGCUGUUCUGCAACCUUCUGCGACUCCACGUAUCAUCCAAGGAACCAGGUAUUGCCAUCAUGCAAUGACAAGAGCGAAGUGCGGACCAGUACAAACCAUAAUAACGCCUACGUUUUUUUCCACUCGCAGCAUAAUACAUGUUCAAAAGCGCACGAAGUCAGCGGAGUUGCGUUUAUACCCCCUGUGCGGAAUGACAUUUGACUAUCAGAAAAAACCACGCAAAGCACUGCACAAUCAGCUGAUUACCAUAACGAAUCAAGAGCGAGGCAUAGUUACGAGCAGCACGAAACGGAAUUAUUCCACAAAUCUGCCUUCCUUUGACUUGCUAAUAAACAAACAGGUGUGUGAA